rnacentral:rRNA from 1 species
CGCGUAGGCGGCAAGGCAAGUCAGGUGUGAAAGCCCCGAGCUUAACUCGGGAAUUGCAUCUGAAACUGCUGUGCUUGAGUUCUGGAGGGGGUAGUGGAAUUCCCAGUGUAGCGGUGAAAUGCGUAGAUAUUGGGAGGAACACCUGCGGCGAAGGCGGCUACCUGGACAGAAACUGACGCUGAGGCGCGAAAGCUAGGGGAGCGAACGGGAUUAGAUACCCCGGUAGUCCUAGCCGUAAACGAUGGGCACUUGGUGUUGGGGGUAUUGAGUCCCCCAGUGCCGGAGUUAACACGUUAAGUGCCCCGCCUGGGGAGUACGGUCGCAAGACUGAA